CUGUCACCACGGAGAGGUCCGGACCCGACCAGGAGCCGGGAUGUCCUCGGCGGCCGAUGCCGCUGUUGCCGCCCCACCCGAGGAGUCCGCGCCACUGGCACGGCUGUCGCCGCGCACCGGGCAGCACGGGCAGUGCCCCUCUGCGUCUUAAUCUGCGUUUUCAAUGUCCUUGGAGUUUCAAGAUCCCUGCAGGUCCACAGACCAGGGACCUUCUGGGCAAGACACAGACUUGUACACAUUUCCUUGGUCUCUAGAAUCUGCAGCAGAAAAAUAUCUGGGUCUCGGGUUAUCUUGAACAUAUAUGAAUGUUAACAGCUUUCACAAGCAUUCAAGACAAUGAUGGCCUUGACGAGCUGUGAUACUAGAGAUGGGGAUGGUUGUCUGAGCCACUGUUUGCACUGGGACAGCACCUAUACUCUACUGAGCAAUGCCACUGAGCUGGGAGUCAUCCUCCCAACUGAAAACUGUGCUGCUGUUCACAUUGGGCAAACCAGCCAUCACAGGACAGCAGAAGAUCUGCUUCGUCAUGGAUGAUUGCAUCAACACCACAUACCUGAUGGCAACCUGGCUGAAAACCUCCUCUUGCUGGAGUCAGCUUCGGUCCAAAGCACAUGGCCGGUCCAUUUCAAGCCAUUCUGAUGGUGAUGGUGUGUAUUUCAUCUUAGCCACACGAUGUGAAUUGGCCCUGGUGUGAGAUUAAUCUGGGCCAAAAGAUGUGGAGAAUUCUUCAGAGGAUUUAAUGGAGUGGAGCAUCUGGGGCACAGGAAAUCACUGACUGUGGCUACUGGACCCCACAUUUAAUGAUCCUAAAUGAACCAGACCUAUUAAAGGAAUCCUAGACCUGAGUUCCUUCACUCUUCGGGAUACUUGGAUCAACUGAGAUACAGCAUGGUAUCAGGCCUUCCCAGCCCAACAAGCCCAUUUACACCAUGUGACCAAUUAACCCGUCUAUCUUUGGACUGUGGGAGGAAACCAGAGCACCCAGAGGAAACCCCUGUGAUCACAGUGAGAACAUACAAGCUCCUUACAGACAGUGGCAGAAUUGAAGUUGGAUCACUGGCCCAGUAAUAGCAUUAUGCUAACCACUAUACUGCUUGCCACCCUUUCAAUUUUCAUUGAAGGCAGGUUUUUAAAAAAAUUCUAUGAUUUCAACCUCUGUGAACAGUAAUAUUUCUGAAUAUUUGAAGAGUUACAAUGUGAAUUUAAGCCACACAGUGCAGGCUGCUGUGAUGCAGAUUAAUUAGCUGAAGGUAUUAUUCAGAAGCUAAAGAAUACAGUCCCCUGCAAUAACAUGUCUCACUGAAUAUUGAAACUGUAGGUGAUAGUUUUAAUCUUAAAUUUGUCUGUAGAUUUUCUGACCUUGGAUAUGCUAAUACAUUUUUUGCAUUAAAUAUUGUAUGUUUGUCAUUUCUAUGGUCACUGCUUGAAUUUAUAUCAGAAUGUUGCAUUAUCAACAAAAUAUCCAAAGGAGUAUUUGUCAAUGAAUUAUUGGCAAUAUACUGAAGAGAAAACAGACUUACCUGUGAUUGUUUACUAGUACUGGGUAUAAGCUACCAACCGAACAUCUCCCAAUCCAGAUCCACAGCUCCCUAUCAGCCCCUGAAUAAUGGCUUGUUUAUGCUUUCUCUAUGCCUGUGGCUUUAUCCGGAGUUUAAGUGAAAAGGUGGACCGAAUCAAACGUAAACAUAGUGGACGGUGGGGCAGGACCAAAGAAGUGCAGUUUUUGCUUUACUUGUUUUUGUUAUUUUGCUCCUCAUAAUUUGAGUAGAAUUUAAAGAUUUCUCCAAGGAACAUAAAGCCCUUUCAGAAAUAAAAAUGUAUGAUGGAUGUAAUUGCACUCCCCUAUUCAUUCCACAACACACCCAUCAUUGGAGCUAUAUUCUUUUCCUCAAUAGAAUAACAGAAUGGAGAAAUUUCAGCUUCAGUUUAGGCUGUUUUCCCCUUACAGUGCUACUUGUGUUGUCCUUGUUUCAUAAUUCACGAUCAAUUUACUUUCCCUCAGGGUAAGCCCAGUUAAUGUCAAUAGAGUAAUGUUACCAACCUUGGUGCUUAUGGCAGAGAUUUUUUUUUGCAUUAGUGUGCAAUAUGAUUUCUCCAGAAGCUGAAUGUGCUUCUGUUUUUUUGAGGGAAAGUCAGAUCUCAAACCAUUAUUGUGUAAUUCCUCAUGUUAACAUGCUAUUGUGCAUUUAGGUUAUUAAGAACGGAGAGUGGUUAUAUCUUGAAGAAACUCAUCCUGGUAUUUCAGAUGUCCGAAGGCUCGAUGGCAAUGACAAAUGCCUCAAGAAUUCAAGGACUGGAAGCCGGUUUGCGAAAAGAAACUUUCUUCAAGAUAAACCAUCUACUUGAAAGAUGAAGGGGAGAAAUGUGAGUUGAUUGCUAAAACUUGCUUGCUAGUUUGAGAAUAGUCUGCAGUUUGGGAGGUGUGGGCAGUCUCCAGUGAAAUUUGGAGCUGCCUUGUGAAGUCAACAAAACUUAAAAGACUGUGUACCUUGUUAUUGUGACUGCCAAACAACUUCUGUUUGAUGGUCCUGGGAAGACUUAAAAGUUUGAAUUUCACUUUAGAUGUCAUUAAUGAGACAUGCCUGAAAACACUGGAUAUAGUAAUGUUUAAUGCAGAGCAGGAAUGUCCUGUCCAUGUUUGAUUUUAUCCAGAAACUAGCACUCAUGCC